UCACACUAGAUGGGGGAGUAGCGGUUCCCUGUAACCUGUAGUCCGCUUUAGCAGGAUUGAAGUCCUUUUUAAAGGUUUGUGUCUUUUUUCAUAGGUUAAUAAAAACGUUGAAGUUUAGGUCCUGGACAAUAAAGGUUUUCAAACCCCGUCAGAUCUGAGAGGAAGCAGCGGUAAGCAAACUCUAUUUAUGUGUUUUAGGGUAGCCUACUCUGAGUUAUUUGUUUUCGUAUAGAGAAAGUAGCAACUUGGUCAAAGGUGUGUGG
rnacentral:SRP_RNA from 2 species